rnacentral:rRNA from 1 species
AGAGUUGAUCCUGGCUUAGGACGAACGCUGGCGGCGUGCCUAACACAUGCAAGUCGAACGGAGACAGAAAGCUUGCUUUCUGUCUUAGUGGCGGACGGGUGAGUAACGCGUGAGCAACCUGCCUACAGAGGGGGAUAGCCAUUGGAAACGAUGGAUAAUACCGCAUAACGUAUACGCAUGGCAUCUUGUGUAUACCAAAGGAGCAAUCCGGCUGUAAGAUGGGCUCGCGUCCGAUUAGAUAGUUGGCGGGGCAACGGCCCACCAAGUCGACGAUCGGUAGCCGGACUGAGAGGUUGAACGGCACAUUGGACUGAGACACGGCCCAGACUCCUACGGGAGGCAGCAGUGAGGGAUAUUGCACAAUGGGCGAAAGCCUGAUGCAAGCAACGCCGCGUGAGGGAUGACGGUUUUCGGAUUGUAAACCUCUGUCUUCGGUGAAGAUAAUGACAUUAGCCGAGGAGGAAGCCACGGCUAACUACGUGCCAGCAGCCGC